CAGUCGCCACGGUAAUACGUAGGUCCCGAGCGUUGUCCGGAUUUAUUGGGCGUAAAGCGAGCGCAGGCGGUUAGAUUAGUCUGAAGUUAAAGGCUGUGGCUUAACCAUAGUACGCUUUGGAAACUGUUUAACUUGAGUGCAAGAGGGGAGAGUGGAAUUCCAUGUGUAGCGGUGAAAUGCGUAGAUAUAUGGAGGAGCACCGGUGGCGAAAGAGGCUCUCUGGCUUGUAACUGACGCUGAGGCUCGAAAGCGUGGGGAACAAACAGGAUUAGAUACCCGUGUAGUCCCUGUCUCUUAUACA
rnacentral:rRNA from 1 species